rnacentral:rRNA from 1 species
UUCGAUUAAGCCAUGCGAGUCGAGAGUCCUCGGGACUCGGCGUACCGCUCAGUAACACGUGGGUAACCUGCCCUAUGCUGGGGAAUAACCUCGGGAAACUGAGAACAAUGCCCCAUAGCCCACUACGCCUGGAACGGUGAGUGGGUCAAAGCCCCGGCGGCAUAGGAUGGGCCUGCGCCGUAUCAGGUUGUAGGGGGUGUAAAGUACCCUCUAGCCAUCAACGCGUACGGGUGUUGGGAGACAUUGCCCGGAGAUGGAUUCUGAGACACGAAUCCAGACCCUACGGGGUGCAGCAGGCGCGAAAACUUGGCAAUGCGAGAAAUCGUGACCAGGGAACUCCAAGUGCGUAGGGUAAGACCUACGCUUUUCUUGACUCUUCAAAGGUCUUGGAAUAAGGGGUGGGUAAGGACGGUGCCAGCCGCCGCGGUAAUACCGGCGCCUCAAGUGGUAGUCGCUUUUAUUGGGCCUAAAACGUCCGUAGCCGGUCUGGUGCAUUCGUGGGUAAAUCAACCCGCUCAACGGGUUGAAUUCUGCGAGCACGGCCAGACUUGGGACCGGGAGAGGUGUGGGGUACUCUCAGGGUAGGGGUAAAAUCCUAUCAUCCUGAGAGGACCACCUGUUGCGAAGGCGCCACACUAGAACGGAUCCGACGGUCAGGGACGAAACCUAGGGGCACGAACCGGAUUAGAUACCCGGGUAGUCCUAGGUGUAAACGCUGUGGACUUGAUGUUGGGGGCGCUCCGAGCGCUCUCAGUGUCGAAGCGAAGGUGAUAAGUCCACUGCCUGGGGAGUACGGUCGCAAGGCUGAAACUUAAAGGAAUUGGCGGGGGAGCACUGCAACCUGAGGAUUGUGCGGUUUAAUUGG